rnacentral:rRNA from 1 species
AGUGAACGCUGGCGGUAGGCCUAACACAUGCAAGUCGAACGGCAGCACAGUAAGAGCUUGCUCUUACGGGUGGCGAGUGGCGGACGGGUGAGGAAUACAUCGGAAUCUACUUUUUCGUGGGGGAUAACGUAGGGAAACUUACGCUAAUACCGCAUACGACCUACGGGUGAAAGCAGGGGAUCUUCGGACCUUGCGCGAUUGAAUGAGCCGAUGUCGGAUUAGCUAGUUGGCGGGGUAAAGGCCCACCAAGGCGACGAUCCGUAGCUGGUCUGAGAGGAUGAUCAGCCACACUGGAACUGAGACACGGUCCAGACUCCUACGGGAGGCAGCAGUGGGGAAUAUUGGACAAUGGGCGCAAGCCUGAUCCAGCCAUACCGCGUGGGUGAGGAAGGCCUUCGGGUUGUAAAGCCCUUUUGUUAGGAAAGAAAAGCAGCAGGUUAAUACCCCGCUGUUCUGACGGUACCCAAAGAAUAAGCACCGGCUAACUUCGUG